rnacentral:rRNA from 1 species
ACGUAGGUGGCAAGCGUUGUCCGGAAUUAUUGGGCGUAAAGGGCGCGCAGGCGGUCUGGUAAGUCGGUCUUAAAAGUGCGGGGCUUAACCCCGUGAGGGGACCGAAACUGCCAGACUAGAGUAUCGGAGAGGAAAGCGGAAUUCCUAGUGUAGCGGUGAAAUGCGUAGAUAUUAGGAGGAACACCAGUGGCGAAAGCGGCUUUCUGGACGACAACUGACGCUGAGGCGCGAAAGCCAGGGGAGCAAACGG